ensembl:lncRNA
CUGAAUUCAUCACGGGGUGGGAAGGCAGGGAGAGGCCUCUGGGACUUUGAGCUUUAUGGUUAACCCUUCAGCCCUCACGGAGGCCAUUAAAGGGAGAGCGCUGGGCUUUGGAGACCUCUCUGAAAGACCCAGCUGGAGCCUCACUGGCGGUCGCCUAACCGCUUGGCCCUUCUGUAACCUGACUCUGCUGUUGGGAUGUAAGGAGUCACUGUCCGUCUCCUUCCCAUCCUCCCUCAGCCCCCCGAUCUGCCUCCUGAAAGGUCUCCCAUGGAUCAGAUUCUCCUGCCCUGCCUGGCCCAUGGAAUAGAACAGUACUGAGAAGUAUUCUGGUUUUUUCCUUCCCUGCUGCCCAAGCAGGUGUGCAGUGCCUGAUGUUGACAUUGAAAGGGGACAUGGGAACAAAAAGGCUGUUCACUAACCCACUUACUGCUACGCAGUGAGCUAUGGGAGCCAUGCAGCUUCAGGGUUGAGCCCAGGGACUCUCCUCCGUCCACUGCAUGGGGCUGAUUUGUGGCUCUGCCGAGUUCUUAAUCACCUUCUUUGGACUCCAAGAUGCAUUUUAAUGUCAGUUUUGAAGACUUCCAAACCCUGGAUGUGAAUUCUGCUCCAGGACUCCUCCCAGUAGAGCCCGCAGGGUUGAAAGCUGAGGCUGCUAGAGACGUCUUGACCAUUCACUUACUUAACAUACAUCUGCUGAGGUCCUACUAUAAGCUGAGCACUGGGAACAGCGGCAAAAUACAGACAUGAUCCCUGACGUCCCCAGGCUUAGAAGAAGAUGAACAUGUACAGAAAUGGAUGCCCAGAGAACAGUGAUUUGCCCCAAACCCCUCAGCUAGGGAGUUACGGAAUCGGAUUCCUGUCUUGCUCUGCUGGACUCCAGGUUCCAGAGUCUCUGCACACUUCCAGCCUCACAAGCUUUUCUUUGACUUGCCUUUCUUCCUCUCAUUUGUCCACAUCCUGCCAGCAGACUAGGGCGGGAAACAGGAAGCCGACUUCCCUGAGAGGAGCCUUCUCUGGUUCCAGAACUGUUUUGAUGCUGCUAGUUCCUGGCCAUCCGCAGCUUUACCCUGGAAGCAGGCAUGCUUCCCCUCUAGGGACAGGCCUGGGCAGUCAGCAGGCUCCAAUUCCAUAAUCAAUUAUUCAACACAAAUAAGAGUUGAAUUAAAAUUUCAUGACCCCAUUGCUUUUUACCCAAGCAUCUAUCUGAAAGUGAAGACAUUUGUUUGAGUUUAGCAGUUGAAUUGCUGAAAUCUUCGUCUGAAGCCUUUCAACUUCCAUAAAUCAUUUUGGAUCCCAAGAGAUCUUGUCAUUUCCACAGUGUUCAAAGUGGAGCAGGCCUCUCUGCAGACACAAUGCCCCAGGGGUGUCAGUUGAACAGGUCCCUCUUGGGAGCAGGGCUGGGGUUUCACCCAGUGUCUGCCGGCCAGAUGGUCACCACCUCUGGUUUUAGGAGGCAAUCGCUGACAUUUGCUCAGUGGGAUCAAUAGGAUGAUUCCAGAUAAACAACAGGCAGGAAGGAUUUAGAAGGUGGCCUGCAGCUUGAGGUCGUCCCUAGAGGUUACUGGAAACCACAUCUUUGUAGACAGGGCCAGUGGGAAGGAGAGAGGUGUAUGUGUUCCCUUGUCCUCUGACCCUUCUGGUUCCUUAAGGGCAGGUGGGUAACCUUGGGGCAGUGACUCAAAUCUCUCAGUGCCUCAGUUUCCCCACAUGGAAGGCAGAGCUGUUGAACCCUCCUGACAGGGUGGUUGUGAAGGCCACGGGAGUGGACCUAUGAGCAGCUCUCAGCUCAGUGCCUGGUAGCAGGUGCUCAAAUCCAUCACUGCCGGUGGCUCGAGUUGGGUCCACAGAUGGCUGUUGACUGGGGUGAGGUGUGAUGUUGUGCCCUGACUUCCAGCCCUCACUUGUCCUAUCUGAGGUGGCUCUGGGAACCCCUGAGCAGCAGGAGAGUGGGUCAACAUUGAAUGCCCAGAGGUGAGACUCAGAGAUGUGGGCAAGGGACCUUCCUGCCCAAACAGAAAAGAUGGCUUUAGGGCAGUCUCUGCCACUGCUGAUGGGAAGGGACACUCAGCAUUUGGAGAGGCAGAGGCAAGUGAGCGAUGUCCAGAAGGUCAGGUCAGGCAUUCCAGCAACAAAGUGGACAGAGCGCAGUGUGUCUUCAGGCAGGCCGAGCUCCACCCACCAUGGGGGCUGAGGGUAGGUGAGGAGGGCAGAUCCUGACUAGGGGUAAAGCAGGGCAUCCCUAAGAUGGGAGAAAAGGCACAGAGCCUGAGCUCAGAUCCCAGCUCAGAGGGAGACUCCCAGGUCCUGGCAGGUCCCAUGGCACUCACCUUGAGGGCUUGCUGUGAAGGCAGAAGGGACAGCACUUGGAGAAGAGCUGGGGAACCCAGUGAGGCAGAAUCUCAGAGACAUUUCAAGGCAUCUAGUGGGGCUGCAGCCCCAGGACUAACUAGAGAAUCUCAUAGGAGGGAAAAAGUGAGGGAUAGGAGGGUCUGAACAGGAUGCAGAGCUAACCUUUGGAGAAUAUCAUGGCCAUGGAGAAGUGCAGGGAUUGGAGUCUUGUCCUCACCCUGCUUCUGGAUCACUGUGUGACACAGGACAAGCCACUUGUCCUCUCUGAGUUUCAUCUGCACAUCUGCAGAAUAAGAGAUGUUAACUAAGGGAUCUCUAAGACCCCCUCAGAGGGUCAGGACUUGUCUUGGUAUAGCUCUAUGUGAUGCCCCCUCUCUGCUCCUACACCCCACCCUCUACUUUAUCUGGUAAGUGGCUUUCUAGCGCAAAUUGCCUUCUGCCAGAGAAAAGUACGUCAGCUGCAGGAACCCACAGUGCCGACUCAGCAGCCCUCCAGGUCACUGCGUGAUGUCAGGACCAGCAGUAAUAGGGCUGCUUAGUUCAUUAGAGACCAGGGCUAAUAUGUCCUCACCCUUGGAGAUGCUAUUACAGGGUGGUUUCUGCAGCUUUCUCUAUGGGAGGGAAGAAAACAAGGAGAAUGGGAAACAGGAGAUGGAUCUGACUCACACCCCCAGAGGAGAGGCUGACAGCAAGCUUUUGCGCCAGUCUUAGCUUGGAAACCUGGGUGCUAGAGAGGGACAGCCACUGGGCUCUUCCAUUUCCUGUGACAGGAACUUCAGAGGAGCCCUCCUUGAGUGCAGAAGGGAUUUUUUUGGUUUAUAUAAAGAGAGGAGCUCUGAGACAGGGUAGCCGUUGGGAGCACCUUGAGUUAGUCAGGGCCUCAAAUGAUGCCAGCAGGACCGGCUCCUUUUUUUCCUCCAUCUUUUAGCAUUUCUCUACCAUGCAAAGACAUCUCAAGUCUCCUCUCCUGGUGAUGAGAUGAUUUCCAUUAGGACUGGCACUCAGCAGAAAAGGAAACUUCUCUUCCUUGUAGUUGAUCGAAAGUUCAGGGCCACUGGCUCUAAGAACCCAGCCCCACCCCUGAAUCAUCAGAAAGGAUAGAGGCCUGGAAGAUGCUGACAGCCUUAAGCCAAGCAGGGUCUACCCCAUGAGUGAGUUUAACCCUAUGAGGGCUGAGAGUUAGGGAGAGGGCACUGUUUAUCAGUAAAAGAAUCAAAAGGUACUAGGCCACAAAAACCUAUAGAUGCCUGGAGUGGGUGUGGGACAGGGAGCAAGAAAAGAAAACAUAUUAACAGAAACAAAAGGGUAGAUGGGAAAAAUACAAAUAUUUAUGCAUCAUGAUUGAUUUCAUUUCACUUUUCCAAGAAUACAAUGAUAUUGGAGGUGCUAUAUUCCUGGGUAUAGAAUUCUAGGUGUUUAGAGUUAGAAAUAUAUUCAAUACUCUCAGACCAAUCCUAUUUCCUUAUUUAUAUAGUUAUUUUAAGUAACUAAAACAUAUAUAUCUAUGGUGUAUGGCAUGGUACUCUGAAAUAUGUAUACAUUGUGGAAUAGCUACACUAAGCUAAUUAAUAUAUGCAUUACCCCACAUACUCAUUUAUUUGUGGUCAAAAUGCUUAAAAUCUAUUCAAUGUCACUUUCACAGGCAGGGUGUCAAAGUCCCAGAAAGGUUAAGUGACUGUCUCCAGGUCACUCACCUCAGGGUAAGAUGGUGGAGUAGGGAAUCCAUCUUCCCAUCUAAAUAGCAGCCACACUAGUAAAAUCUGUCUGAUAUAACUAUUUUGGAACUCUGAGGUCUAUGCAAUGGCCUGAAAGUUCUAAAGGGAAGGCUUGUGUAGUACAUCACAGCCGGUUUCCCUCAACUUCAGCUCUUAGUUGGGUAGCAGC